rnacentral:lncRNA from 1 species
GAUAACUGAAGCAUACCAUUACCACUAUAGGAAGAAUGUCACUGCUUUGAACUUCCAAGCCACUUCACUACUAGCAGCCUAGUAGAAAGGACACUCCCUUAGCUCUCAGGUAAAGCACACAUGUUAUAGUGUAUCAGAGAUACAACAGACCUCAGGUGGAAAAGUUGAUGACACGAUCUGCUUAUUGUUUUUCAUAAAUCUUCUUGAAGGUGCAUCAUCAUCAGCAUAAUCUAGCAGCAUGACUGUCACAGAAAUGUUUGUUACUGAUGAUCAGCUUGACGAGCUUUCAAGCUCGUUCCUAUCAUCUAAAUACUGCAUUCUCUGUAACUCGCUCGGCCUACUCUGCAAUCAAGGGGCCAUGGUCUUAGCAUUGCAAGGCGGAAACUACCAGAAAGCCCUUGGGGUGGUUCUAAGACUGUGGAAGGAGAGAACUGGUGGUAGCCGAGCACGUCUUCAUGCAGCUCUGCGGGAUGCUGGAGCGGGAGAACUCAUCCGGGAAUAAGAUAUAGAAAUUACUUUACUGAUUAUUACAAUUGUGAUGAUACAUGCACAAUAAUUUUCAUCGGAUAAUUGCAUAAUUGAUUUUCACGGUUUUUCACAUUGCCUCAAAAUAAGCAGGCAAACGUAUUUUUAAUUAUUAAAGAAUCCGAAAUAUAGACAUUUAGCAUUGGCAAUUUAUAUCGCACUAGGAAUUUCACAUUUUAAGUUACACUUUAUAUGUAAAUAAAUGAAAUUAAUAAAAAAAUUGUUUAGUUUCUGAAUGAGGGAAACAAAUCCGACGGAAUAUCGAGUGGGAUUUGAAUAACACGUCCUGUAUAUUUAUGCUCGGUUAAUGACGAGUUUCUCCGCUUUACAAAUCCAACUUAUCUAAUGUCAUUUCAAUGAGAAACUAAAUAAAUAGAUAUACAUUGUUGGUCUACACAUAUUAAAAUUGUACCAAUAAGUUCUAACGCACUGUACAUUUAAUAGAAACUCAAAUUCUUAUAAAAGACUUUAUUUCGUCCACAUUGGCUCCACUGUUAUAAUAUCAUCGCUUACAUUUUAACUAUGGGAGUGAAAAAGGAAAUUAAUAAAUACAUCGUGAUAGGAAUUUGAUAUUUUUAUCACGUAACUGACCAUA